rnacentral:rRNA from 1 species
GAUGAACGCUGGCGGCGUGCCUAAUACAUGCAAGUCGAGCGAACAGAUAAGGAGCUUGCUCCUUUGACGUUAGCGGCGGACGGGUGAGUAAAACGUGGGUAACCUACCUAUAAGACUGGGAUAACUUCGGGAAACCGGAGCUAAUACCGGAUAACAUUUGGAACCGCAUGGUUCUAAAGUGAAAGAUGGUUUUGCUAUCACUUAUAGAUGGACCCGCGCCGUAUUAGCUAGUUGGUAAGGUAACGGCUUACCAAGGCGACGAUACGUAGCCGACCUGAGAGGGUGAUCGGCCACACUGGAACUGAGACACGGUCCAGACUCCUACGGGAGGCAGCAGUAGGGAAUCUUCCGCAAUGGGCGAAAGCCUGACGGAGCAACGCCGCGUGAGUGAUGAAGGGUUUCGGCUCGUAAAACUCUGUUAUUAGGGAAGAACAAAUGUGUAAGUAACUGUGCACGUCUUGACGGUACCUAAUCAGAAAGCCACGGCUAACUACGUG